CCUUGCCUACGGAGGCAGCAGUGGGGAAUAUUGCACAAUGGGGGAAACCCUGAUGCAGCGACGCCGCGUGAGUGAGGAAGUAUUUCGGUAUGUAAAGCUCUAUCAGCAGGGAAGAAAAUGACGGUACCUGACUAAGAAGCCCCGGCUAACUACGUGCCAGCAGCCGCGGUAAUACGUAGGGGGCAAGCGUUAUCCGGAUUUACUGGGUGUAAAGGGAGCGUAGACGGAGGAGCAAGUCUGAUGUGAAAACCCGGGGCUCAACUCCGGGAGUGCAUUUGAAACUGUCCAGCUAGAGUGCAGGAGAG
rnacentral:rRNA from 1 species